rnacentral:rRNA from 1 species
GACGAACGCUGGCGGCGUGCCUAAUACAUGCAAGUAGAACGCACAGUUUAUACCGUAGCUUGCUACACCAUAGACUGUGAGUUGCGAACGGGUGAGUAACGCGUAGGUAACCUGCCUGGUAGCGGGGGAUAACUAUUGGAAACGAUAGCUAAUACCGCAUAAUAUUAAUUAUUGCAUGAUAAUUAAUUGAAAGGUGCAAUUGCACCACUACCAGAUGGACCUGCGUUGUAUUAGCUAGUAGGUGAGGUAACGGCUCACCUAGGCGACGAUACAUAGCCGACCUGAGAGGGUGAUCGGCCAAACUGGGACUGAGACACGGCCCAGAAUCCUACGGGAGGCAGCAGUAGGGAAUCUUCGGCAAUGGACGAAAGUCUGACCGAGCAACGCCGCGUGAGUGAAGAAGGUUUUCGGAUCGUAAAGCUCUGUUGUAAGAGAAGAACGGGUGUGAGAGUGGAAAGUUCACACUGUGACGGUAUCUGACCAGAAAGGGACGGCUAACUACGUG